rnacentral:lncRNA from 1 species
AGCGACAAUUUUUUUUUGGUCCUCUACUUUUAUGUGUUUCACUAUGUCAAGCAUGAAAGAGAGGAAUGAUAUGAUUAUUUUUUUGUUUUUUCUUUCCCCUUCCAUGUGUCUGCUUAUGAUUAGUUUUGUUUGAAUUUGAAAAAGAAAAAAAAACAUGUUGUUGUCUCUAUACCAGCCGCCCUUUUUUCCUUUUUUCUUGUGUUUUUUUAUUUUAUUAAUUUAUUUAGGUUUUAGUUGGGUUAGACCCAAAUGAAACUUGUUGAUAACACCCGCAUAAUCAUGCUUACACCCCUUUUCUAACUCAUGUUUG